CUCCGUGGUGCCUGUCCGGUAGCUGGUCACUCUCAGGGGAAGGUCGUGCUACAGAAGGGCAUAUGCGAUCACACAGAGACGGCGUUGCUGCGGCUUUGACCCUAUGGUGCACCCGAAAGAACACAGAGGGUGGAGGGAGAGAUCCAGGAAGAGGUCGCGGAGCAGAACCUCCUUUCACUGAAGUUAAAAAGAUAAAAUGGAGCUGCUAGAAAUAGCAAAAGCCAGCCCAGCUAAAUCUUUAGGAAUAGCCAACCCUGACUUGCCAGAUGGUCUCAGAACUGUUCCUGUCGUUAAAGAAACAAACUGCAACAGCUGUACUAUAUGCCACAAAGUUCGAGGAACAGAAACCUCAGACAGCCCUGAGAGGAGGACAGCAGGAGCCAGUCUCACAAACACAAUGACAGGGCCUUCCAAAAAGCCUUCUCCCAUGAGAACACUAGAUGCCGGCUGGGCACGGUGGCUCACGCCUGUAAUCCCAGCACUUUGGGAGACCCAGGCAGGCGGAUCACAAAGUCAGGAGUUCGAGACCAGCCUGGCCAACAUUGUGACACCUAGUCUCUACAAAAAA